UGGAGAUAAGCUUUAGAGGAGGAGCUGUAAGAAACUAUUCAAGUUCUGCUCUAAACAGGCUAGAUCACGGCUCACACUAUUCAGCCACACAGGAUCAUAAUGGGAGUCAGACCCCAUUCUGUACACCUUCCCUGGACCUUGGAUCCAGGCACUUAGGGAUAAAGAGGUACUGAAUAAUCAUACAAUAUUUUCCUGAGCUUAAUGGAGCAGGAGACCCUGGUGAAUUCUUCUGAUCAUUCCACAGGCAGUCCUUAAGAAGAGCAAAAUCCUGAUGCUACUUGCCAGCAGCUGUCUUACAUCCUCAUCCCUUGAGCCACCAGUUCCUCUGCCUGGUCCUGCCUUGCAGAAAGACAACUCCAGGAGAAUAUUUCUUUAAAUUCAUCUCAGAAACACAAGAUACCAGAAUCCUUGCAGUACUGAACAAAGCUACAUGCAUUCUCCUGUCUACCUUGCUUAUCAGGCUAGAUAUUUAUAAGGCCUUCAUCACUACAGUACCUGAGUGCCGCUAUAGUAUUUGAAUGCCUUCACAGCACUUACAGUUCUGGCUGGUUGUGGCCUAUGCAGCAAGCAUGGCAAUGUAGGAAACUGUGCAUAAGUUGAAGUCUUGAUUUAAGUGGGGUUGUAUGGGUAUAAGUGAGGGCAUCAUAUGAUCCGGGAUCCUUUCAUUACCUAUCUAAGAUAGGACUAGAUUCUGCUUAUGGGUCACAGAGAGUAAAGGAAUCCAUCCUCUUUUGCACAGCUUAUAUAAGAGCCAGAUAAAAUUGCAAUCCCUGCGCUGAUUGCUCCCUAAUUACUCUUCUGGAGCUGCAUGGGAAUUAAAAAUGGAUGGGGAGAGCGGGAGAGUAGGCCAAGUGAUGGCUAUAUUCCUCCUGUAUAUCAACAAGAAAUAUAAAUCCUGUAAUCAUAGACCUCUCAACCUGACUUCAGUUCAUGGCAAACUACUUAAUAACUAAGUUGAACAAUCUGUGUGUAGACACACGGUUCUGAGCAGAUGCACCUGAUGCGUUACAGACAACAUAGUUUGGUAAGAACUGAGCUUCACAAAUCUAACUGCUCUGUAUAAUGAGAGAGUGGGUGGGCCUAAUUUAUCUAUGUUUUGGCCAAGUCUUUGAAACUGUGGCACACAGAAAUCUCACAGCAAAACUGAAGAUAUUUUGUCAGGAUAAUAAUAAAAGAAGGUGGCUAAACAAUGCAUGGUGGAUUGAGAGCAACAAGCUAUUACCAAUGGUGUUCCAUUAGAACAGAAGGAGGUAUCUAGUUGACUUCCAUAUAAGAUCAAUUCUGGGACCAAAAUUACUAAAUUUACAGUUUGUAACAUUUGUGAGACGAAUGUACUUUAUACUGAACAGCAAAGAAAUUUGCAGAAGAUAUAAAGAGGCUGGCGCCUGUGAAAAUGAAGAAGAAUAGCCAGUGGAGAGGAAGGGGCAUCAGUUGUUUCCCAGCUAGAAAAAUCCCCAGACUACAAGGAAAACAGCCAUACAAAUGUACCUCCCUCUCCACUCUUUAUCCUAACAGGCCCUCGGCCUCUUUAAAAUUCACUUCAAAUCACCUGAAAAUUCACUUGCUGUUAAAUGCCAGAUAAAAAGGAUCACUUGAACAUCCAGUUAACUCUAACCCUUUACACAAAACUGACACAGUUCAAAAAAUCUCACAUAAAGCUCAAAAUGUAUUUUUUUUGCCUGUAUUAGAAAUUCAGGAUUUGAUCCAUAGAAGAAGUUCAAAGAAAGGCAACUAAACUUAUGUAAGACCUAGAAUGACCUACAAGGGCAGAUUAAGGAACUAAAUUUGAUGAGCUGAAACAAUUAUUUUUCAAGCUGGUAUGGUAACACUAACUAUUUGAGGGGAAUUAGAACAGAAGACGGGAAAUAACUCCUACUCCUUGUUAAAACAAGGAGAAAUUGACUGAAAUUGCAAAGGCCACAUUUAGUUAGUUGUAAGGAAAUGCCUUUGAUAGUAAGGUUCAACAAAAAGGAGAACAAUUUGCCUAGUCAGGUAAUUAGGCUAAAAUCACUAGACAUGUUUAAGGAAAGGUUUAUUAAAUGACUAAUAUCCCCUAGGUUCCUUCCUGCUUGAGGCAAUAGGCUGAACAUAAUGAUCCAGUGAGUCCUUUUCCAGAUCUUCUGUACAGUUAGCCAAAAAGAUUUUUGAUGGAACAGUUUUCCAUUGGAAAAUGAAAUGUAGUUAAAAUUGAAAUGUUACACAAGAAUGGGCACACCCAGAUAUUUUUCACAUGGUACACAUCCCCUCUCCCUUUCCUCUUCCCCUCUCAGGUAUUCCCACCGCUGCCAGCCUGACCUUACUGGCCCAUGAACACCUACACCCAUCCCCUCCCAGGAUCCUCCCAGGACAUUGAAUUCUC